GAUGAACGCUGGCUACAGGCUUAACACAUGCAAGUCGAGGGGACACGACGGGGAAGCUUGCUUCCCCGGGCGUCGACCGGCGCACGGGUGAGUAACGCGUAUCCAACCUGCCUCUGACUGAGGGCUAACCCGUCGCAAGUCGGCCUAAUACCUCAUGACAUCGUCUGCGGGCAUCCAACGACGAUUAAAGAUUUCAUCGGUCAGGGAUGGGGAUGCGUCUGAUUAGCUAGUUGGCGGGGUAACCGCCCACCAAGGCGACGAUCAGUAGGGGUUCUGAGAGGAAGGUCCCCCACAUUGGAACUGAGACACGGUCCAAACUCCUACGGGAGGCAGCAGUGAGGAAUAUUGGUCAAUGGGCGAGAGCCUGAACCAGCCAAGUAGCGUGCAGGAUGACGGCCCUAUGGGUUGUAAACUGCUUUUAUGCGGGGAUAAAGUGAGGGACGUGUCCUUCAUUGCAGGUACCGCAUGAAUAAGGACCGGCUAAGUCCGUG
rnacentral:rRNA from 1 species